rnacentral:sRNA from 12 species
CGUCCGGUUUUCGGCGGGAAAUGUUUUUAAGGGCUAGAUAGAAUAAAUACAUUUAAGAUGAUACACUUCAGACUUGAAAGAGAGUUGACAAAAGUAUCCGCACGUUGCUGACGGGUUAAUAAGCAAUAGGGCGAAAGUAGGUAAAGUGACACCCCAAGACCUUCAAAAUGACACUCCCUAAAAGUGUCGGGCUAAGUCCUUAUAAAAGGAUAUGUCAAAACGGGGCGAGGUAGGCUGAUAGCGACGUGACGAGGACACGAACAAGACCCGAAAGGGUAGCAGGUAGGGCAUGCAGACGCCUGUAAAAAGUUCGUUCAAGACUUGAGAUAGUCUUGAAGUUUUAACCC